rnacentral:rRNA from 1 species
GACGAACGCUGGCGGCGUGCUUAACACAUGCAAGUCGUACGGUAAGGCCCUUUCGGGGGUACACGAGUGGCGAACGGGUGAGUAACACGUGAGUAACCUGCCCACAACUUUGGGAUAACGCUAGGAAACUGGUGCUAAUACUGGAUAUGUGCUCCUGCUGCAUGGUGGGGGUUGGAAAGCUCCGGCGGUUGUGGAUGGACUCGCGGCCUAUCAGCUUGUUGGUGGGGUAGUGGCCUACCAAGGCGGCGACGGGUAGCCGGCCUGAGAGGGUGACCGGCCACAUUGGGACUGAGAUACCGCCCAGACUCCUACGGGAGGCAGCAGUGGGGAAUAUUGCACAAUGGGCGCAAGCCUGAUGCAGCAACGCCGCGUGCGGGAUGACGGCCUUCGGGUUGUAAACCGCUUUCAGCAGGGACGAAGCUUUUUGUGACGGUACCUGCAGAAGAAGCACCGGCUAACUACGUG